rnacentral:rRNA from 1 species
UGCACCGAAGCUGCGGCAGCGACACUGUGUGUUGUUGGGUAGGGGAGCGUUCUGUAAGCCUGUGAAGGUGGCCUGUGAGGGUUGCUGGAGGUAUCAGAAGUGCGAAUGCUGACAUAAGUAACGAUAAAGCGGGUGAAAAGCCCGCUCGCCGGAAGACCAAGGGUUCCUGUCCAACGUUAAUCGGGGCAGGGUGAGUCGACCCCUAAGGCGAGGCCGAAAGGCGUAGUCGAUGGGAAACGGGUUAAUAUUCCCGUACUUGGUGUUACUGCGAAGGGGGGACGGAGAAGGCUAUGUUGGCCGGGCGACGGUUGUCCCGGUUUAAGCGUGUAGGUGUGUGUUCCAGGUAAAUCCGGUUCACUUUAACACUGAGGCGUGACGACGAGGCACUACGGUGCUGAAGCAACAAAUGCCCUGCUUCCAGGAAAAGCCUCUAAGCAUCAGGUAACAUCAAAUCGUACCCCAAACCGACACAGGUGGUCAGGUAGAGAAUACCAAGGCGCUUGAGAGAACUCGGGUGAAGGAACUAGGCAAAAUGGUGCCGUAACUUCGGGAGAAGGCACGCUGACACGUAGGUGAAGUGAUUUACUCAUGGAGCUGAAGUCAGUCGAAGAUACCAGCUGGCUGCAACUGUUUAUUAAAAACACAGCACUGUGCAAACACGAAAGUGGACGUAUACGGUGUGACGCCUGCCCGGUGCCGGAAGGUUAAUUGAUGGGGUCAGCGCAAGCGAAGCUCCUGAUCGAAGCCCCGGUAAACGGCGGCCGUAACUAUAACGGUCCUAAGGUAGCGAAAUUCCUUGUCGGGUAAGUUCCGACCUGCACGAAUGGCGUAAUGAUGGCCAGGCUGUCUCCACCCGAGACUCAGUGAAAUUGAACUCGCUGUGAAGAUGCAGUGUACCCGCGGCAAGACGGAAAGACCCCGUGAACCUUUACUAUAGCUUGACACUGAACAUUGAGCCUUGAUGUGUAG